rnacentral:rRNA from 1 species
CGGGAAACUGGGGAUAAUUCCGGAUAGAUUAUAGACGCUGGAAUGCCCUGUAAUCGAAAGCUUUUGUGCCUAAGGAUGGGUCUGCGGUCUAUCAGGUUGUAGUGGGUGUAACGUACCUACUAGCCUACGACGGAUACGGGUUGUGGGAGCAAGAGCCCGGAGAUGGAUUCUGAGACAUGAAUCCAGGCCCUACGGGGCGCAGCAGGCGCGAAAACUUUACAAUGCGGGAAACCGCGAUAAGGGGACACCGAGUGCCAGCAUCCUAUGUUGGCUGUCCAUAUGUAUAAAUCACAUGUGUUAGCAAGGGCCGGGCAAGACCGGUGCCAGCCGCCGCGGUAACA